UACCUUAAGAUGCAACAAUUUAAGGCAAGCCCUGCCCAGUGAAACUCUUUAAACGGCCGCGGUAUCCUAACCGUGCAAAGGUAGCAUAAUAACUUGCCUAUUAAUUAUAGGAUAGAAUGAAGGGGUAAACGAAAUAGAAUCUGUCUCAGUUAGACGUAAGAAAAUUAUUUUUUAGUUGAAGAAAACUAAAUAAAACUGAAGGACAAGAAGACCCUAUAGAGCUUUAUUUUUAAAUUUAUAUAAAGUGCUACUAAAUUCGGUUGGGGCGACCAAUGCUACAUAAAUCAUCAUAAUAAAUAAGACAAAUACGUCACCUUACAGACCCCACUAAGAUCAAAAAAACAAGCUACCUUAGGGAUAACAGGCUAAUCUCAUUAAUGAGUCCCUAUCUAUAAUGUUGGUUGGCACCUCGAUGUUGGCUUAGGGUAUCUAAGAGGCGCAGAAGCUUCUUAUAGAAGGUUUGUUCAACCAUUAAUUCCCUA
rnacentral:rRNA from 1 species